rnacentral:misc_RNA from 1 species
AUUGAAUAGUAUAAACUAGAAUAAAUUUAUUUCUAGGUUAAAGAAAUGAAUGGAUGGCUUCUUUAAAUUUUCUUUACAUUAUUUUCUUAUUCCAUUGAAACCUUGUGUAAACAAAUGGCACCUGGAUAUAUUCUGCAGUAGAAGAACUCAUCAUAAUAAGAUGAUAUCGAAGUAUAAAUCAAGAAAAAGUAUUGGGGUUUGAGGUCCCUUCCAAUCAAAAUAGGAGGGCUAUUGAGGACAUGAAUUUUA